rnacentral:ncRNA from 1 species
UGAUAGAGGCGCGGAUGUCAAGAGUAGUCUCCCUCACACGGACAGGCACAGAGGGAGAGGAAAGGGGCAGCCGCCGAGGUUUCGGGAUCCCCAGCCUGUGGGGCCGGAGCCGGGCCGGGGGAGAACAUCCCACGGACUGUCACCUGAGAGGGUGGAGCGCUGUCGU